rnacentral:rRNA from 1 species
CAGUCGCCGCGGUAAUACAGAGGGUGCGAGCGUUAAUCGGAUUUACUGGGCGUAAAGCGCACGCAGGCGGUCUGUCAAGUCGGAUGUGAAAUCCCCGGGCUCAACCUGGGAACUGCAUUCGAAACUGGCAGGCUAGAGUCUUGUAGAGGGGGGUAGAAUUCCAGGUGUAGCGGUGAAAUGCGUAGAGAUCUGGAGGAAUACCGGUGGCGAAGGCGGCCCCCUGGACAAAGACUGACGCUCAGGUGCGAAAGCGUGGGGAGCAAACAGGAUUAGAUACCCCGGUAGUCCCUGUCUCUUAUAC